CGCAGAGUAGCGCAGCGGUAGAGCGUUGGACUCAUAAUCCAAAGGUCGGUGGUUCGAUUCCAUCCUCUGCAACCA
rnacentral:tRNA from 1 species